rnacentral:rRNA from 1 species
GACGAACGCUGGCGGCGUGCUUAACACAUGCAAGUCGAACGAAGAGCGAUGGAAGCUUGCUUCUAUCAAUCUUAGUGGCGAACGGGUGAGUAACGCGUAAUCAACCUGCCCUUCAGAGGGGGACAACAGUUGGAAACGACUGCUAAUACCGCAUACGAUCUAACCUCGGCAUCGAGGAAAGAUGAAAGGUGGCCUCUAUGUAUAAGCUAUCACUGAAGGAGGGGAUUGCGUCUGAUUAGCUAGUUGGAGGGGUAACGGCCCACCAGGGCGAUGAUCAGUAGCCGGUCUGAGAGGAUGAACGGCCACAUUGGGACUGAGACACGGCCCAGACUCCUACGGGAGGCAGCAGUGGGGAAUCUUCCGCAAUGGACGAAAGUCUGACGGAGCAACGCCGCGUGAGUGAUGACGGCCUUCGGGUUGUAAAGCUCUGUUAAUCGGGACGAAAGGCCUUCUUGCGAAUAGUGAGAAGGAUUGACGGUACCGGAAGAGAAAGCCACGGCUAACUACGUG